UCUUCCUGAUGAGUCAGCAAGUG
rnacentral:piRNA from 1 species